GCCCGAGUGGCGAAAUGGCAGACGCAGAAGACUCAAAAUCUUCCGAUCGCAAGGUCGUGCCGGUUCGAGUCCGGCCUCGGGCACCA
rnacentral:tRNA from 1 species